GGACUACUAGGGUUUCUAAUCUGCUUCGCUCCCCAAGCUUUCGUGCCUGAGCGUCAGUAGUUGGUUAGGUACCUGCCUACGCCUUUGGUGUUCCCGAUCAUCUCAACGCAUUUCACUGCUCCAUGAUCGGUUCCAGUACCCUCUCCAACACUCUAGUCCGGUGAUAUUUUACCCAAAACUAUGGUUGAGCCAUAGCAUUUAAAGUAAAAUCUAUCGGACCGCCUACGCCACUCUUUACGCCCAAUGAAUCCGGAUAACGCUUGCACCCUACGUCUUACCGCGGCUGCUGGCAC
rnacentral:rRNA from 1 species